rnacentral:rRNA from 1 species
GACGAACGCUGGCGGCGUGCUUAACACAUGCAAGUCGAACGGAAAGGCCCUGCUUUUGUGGGGUGCUCGAGUGGCGAACGGGUGAGUAACACGUGAGUAACCUGCCCUUGACUUUGGGAUCACUUCAGGAAACUGGGGCUAAUACCGGAUAGGAGCUCCUGCUGCAUGGUGGGGGUUGGAAAGUUUCGGCGGUUGGGGAUGGACUCGCGGCUUAUCAGCUUGUUGGUGGGGUAGUGGCUUACCAAGGCUUUGACGGGUAGCCGGCCUGAGAGGGUGACCGGCCACAUUGGGACUGAGAUACGGCCCAGACUCCUACGGGAGGCAGCAGUGGGGAAUAUUGCACAAUGGGCGGAAGCCUGAUGCAGCAACGCCGUGUGCGGGAUGACGGCCUUCGGGUUGUAAACCGCUUUCGCCUGUGACGAAGCGUGAGGGACGGUAAUGGGUAAAGAAGCACCGGCUAACUACGUG